rnacentral:rRNA from 1 species
AAGGGUCGGCCCAGAGGACGGGGUCCGCGUCCCCAUCAGCUAGUUGGUGAGGUAAUGGCUCACCAAGGCGAAGACGGGUAGCUGGUCUGAGAGGAUGAUCAGCCACACUGGAACUGAGACACGGUCCAGACUCCUACGGGAGGCAGCAGUGGGGAAUAUUGCGCAAUGGGCGAAAGCCUGACGCAGCCACGCCGCGUGAGCGAUGAAGGUCUUCGGAUCGUAAAGCUCUGUGGGGGGAGAAGAAGAAAGUCGGUGAAGAGCCGGCCCUGACGGUAUCCCCUUAGCAAGCACCGGCUAACUCCGUGCCAGCAGCCGCGGUAAUACGGAGGGUGCAAACGUUGCUCGGAAUCAUUGGGCGUAAAGCGCGCGUAGGCGGCUGAACAAGUUGGAUGUGAAAGCCCUGGGCUCAACCUAGGAUGUGCAUUCAAAACUGUUCGGCUUGAGUCUCGGAGGGGGUCAGAGAAUUCUCGGUGUAGAGGUGAAAUUCGUAGAUAUCGGGAG